rnacentral:rRNA from 1 species
UGGGGAAUAUUGGACAAUGGGCGAAAGCCUGAUCCAGCCAUGCCGCGUGUGUGAAGAAGGUCUUAGGAUCGUAAAGCACUUUAAGUUGGGAGGAAGGGCAGUAAAUUAAUACUUUGCUGUUUUGACGUUACCGACAGAAUAAGCACCGGCUAACUCUGUGCCAGCAGCCGCGGUAAUACAGAGGGUGCAAGCGUUAAUCGGAAUUACUGGGCGUAAAGCGCGCGUAGGUGGUUUGUUAAGUUGGAUGUGAAAUCCCCGGGCUCAACCUGGGAACUGCAUUCAAAACUGACUGACUAGAGUAUGGUAGAGGGUGGUGGAAUUUCCUGUGUAGCGGUGAAAUGCGUAGAUAUAGGAAGGAACACCAGUGGCGAAGGCGACCACCUGGACUGAUACUGACACUGAGGUGCGAAAGCGUGGGGAGCAAACAGGAUUAGAUACCCCAGUAGUCCCUGAGCGGGCUGGCAAGGCGCAU